UGUCAUAUCACGUUGAAACACUGCUUUCCGUCCGAUCACCGAAGUUAAACAACGUCGAGCCUGGUCAGUACUUAGAUGGGGUAAUCACUUGGGAAUACCAGGUGCUGUAAG